CUUGCUGUGAAGGAAAAGAUAUCAAAUACGUGGAAAGUGACUAAGGUUAAUAGAGAUUGAAAUUUUUUUUUCUUUUAUUUUUUUAAGGUGGCUCUUUUGAACGUGUUUCUAUUCUGAGGGGAAGCACCAGAAGCAAGGAAGUAACUUUAGACCAAACAGAACUGGGGAUAAGUGGUUGAGUGGAGUUGAAGUCACAGAACCUAUGAAAGCACCAGCCAGGGAGGAAGGAGGACGUCCAGUCCCUGAGCCCGGAAACCCCAGGCAGAUGAACACGUGAAUGGACCGUGUGCAGAGAGCCUUAGAAGAAGAUUGACCUGGUUUGUUUACUAAGAAGACAUUCCUGGAGGUGUCUAGGAGAGAUGUCCUGGGAUACAAGCAGAUGUGGAGAUACUAAUUACAAUAGUCAAAAUUAGAGGAGUGGAAAAAGUAAACAGACGGAGGCCUCUGAAACAUGAAGGGAAGAAGGCUAUUAUUGCAGAGUAGAGUUGGAUUUGACAUCUGAUGGCAAGAGGAGAGUAUGUUGUCACCCUUCCGUGGAUGUUCCAUAUGAACACAAAAAACCUAUCCCCGGAUCAGAUCCUGUGCAUAAUAAUGAGGAAACACAUGAUCAAGUGCAGAAAAAACAGACGAGGAGGAAAAGUGAGAUGCAAGAGGAAGAGACACACUGAAGGAAGAAUUGUUAGACAAGAAGAAGCCAAAACCAGAUGACUACAAAUUCUUAUUCUCUGCAGGGAAAUCGACUGGGACAGAAGGGAAGCAUUUGAAGCUGCCGGAAGAGGGUGAAGUGGCCGAUCUGUGGCAGACCCGAC